GUGAACGCUGGCGGUAGGCCUAACACAUGCAAGUCGAACGGCAGCACAGUAAGAGCUUGCUCUUACGGGUGGCGAGUGGCGGACGGGUGAGGAAUACAUCGGAAUCUACUUUUUCGUGGGGGAUAACGUAGGGAAACUUACGCUAAUACCGCAUACGACCUACGGGUGAAAGCAGGGGAUCUUCGGACCUUGCGCGAUUGAAUGAGCCGAUGUCGGAUUAGCUAGUUGGCGGGGUAAAGGCCCACCAAGGCGACGAUCCGUAGCUGGUCUGAGAGGAUGAUCAGCCACACUGGAACUGAGACACGGUCCAGACUCCUACGGGAGGCAGCAGUGGGGAAUAUUGGACAAUGGGCGCAAGCCUGAUCCAGCCAUACCGCGUGGGUGAAGAAGGCCUUCGGGUUGUAAAGCCCUUUUGUUGGGAAAGAAAAGCAGCAGGUUAAUACCCCGCUGUUCUGACGGUACCCAAAGAAUAAGCAUCGGCUAACUUCGUG
rnacentral:rRNA from 1 species